rnacentral:misc_RNA from 1 species
UUUCUACCUACCCGGAAAAAAAAAAAAAAACAAAACUUUCUCCACCUAUAAGAACAACUUUGAUUCUUCAACACCUACCUAAUAACCUCAUAAUCCUCAUCAGAAAUUCAGAAUACCAACUGGGUAUCUGCUAUUUUCUAUUGAGAAUCACUCCUGCAUGAUCGUUUAGACACAGAAAAGAAGAGAAAAUUUUCAAAACUAUGGGUUCUGAAGCAAGUCCUACACCUAGGCUCCCCCUGUUUUCGCUUCGAAGCAAGUCAAAUGAGCCACAAGGGUUACCGACUCCACCUAUCCAUACCUUAGCCUCAGUUCCAUUCCAGUGGGAGGAAGCACCAGGAAAGCCCCGACCCUGCACCACCACCAACAACGAGCAGCAGCCCAAGUCGAAGACUGCAAGAUGCCUAGAGUUGCCUCCGAGGCUGUUAUGUGAAGCCAAAGUCAAUAACCUUCCCUCUCCUACCACUAUCUUGGAUGGACCUUAUUUGGGUCACUCUCGGUCUCGCUCUAGGUCGCUGUCGUUUGGGAAAGGAAUGUCGUCCUUUAGUAGCUUAGAGAACCUGGGCAGGAGAGGAAAUAAGGGGAGAAUGAUAUUUGGGUCUAGCCGGUGGGG